GUGCCAGCCGCCGCGGUAAUACCGGCAGCCCGAGUGAUGGCCGAUAUUAUUGGGCCUAAAGCGUCCGUAGCCGGCCGGGCAAGUCCGUCGGGAAAUCCGCGCGCUCAACGCGCGGGCGUCCGGCGGAAACUGCUCGGCUUGGGACCGGAAGACCCGAGGGGUACGUCCGGGGUAGGAGUGAAAUCCCGUAAUCCUGGACGGACCGCCGAUGGCGAAAGCACGUCGCGAAGACGGAUCCGACAGUGAGGGACGAAAGCUAGGGUCUCGAACCGGAUUAGAUACCCUUGUAGUCC
rnacentral:rRNA from 1 species